rnacentral:rRNA from 1 species
UGAGUAACCUGCCCUUAACUCUGGGAUAAGCCUGGGAAACUGGAUCUAAUACCGGAUAUGACUCCUCAUCGCAUGGUGGGGGGUGGAAAGCUUUAUUGUGGUUUUGGAUGGACUCGCGGCCUAUCAGCUAGUUGGUGUGGGUAAUGGCCCACCAAGGCGACGACGGGUAGCCGGCCUGAGAGGGUGACCGGCCACACUGGGACUGAGACACGGCCCAGACUCCUACGGGAGCAG